rnacentral:rRNA from 1 species
CACGUAGGGGGCAAGCGUUGUCCGGAUUUAUUGGGCGUAAAGAGCUCGUAGGCGGUUUGGUGAGUCGGGUGUGAAAUCUCCACGCUCAACGUGGAGGGGCCACCCGAUACUGCCAUGACUAGAGUCCGGCAGGGGAGUGUGGAAUUCCCGGUGUAGCGGUGAAAUGCGUAGAGAUCCGGAGGAACCCCAGAGGCGAAGGCGGCGUCCUGGCCCAUUUCUGACGUUCAGACAUGACAGCAUGGGGAGCGAACGGG